rnacentral:lncRNA from 1 species
AAUUCAAAAAAACCUCAAGAAAUUUCAAACAAACAAUAAGAAUUCUUAAAGAAAUAUUAAAAGGAUCACAAGUAUCACUCAAAUACAUCUCAAUUCAAUCUAAAUUUAAUUCUAAUUAAAAUCCUAUAGAACUUCAUUCAAACUUUAGGCCAAAAUUAAUUGAAUCUUAAAUCCUAAUAAAAUCCUAAACCCUAAAUUAAACCUUAAAAAAACCUUAAACUAAAUUUCAACCAAAUCCCAACCAAAUCUUAAACCAAAUCCUAAACCAAAUCCUAACCAAAUCCAAAAUCCUAAAUCAAACCCUAAUCAAAUCCUAAUCCAAAUCCUAAACCCUAAAUCAAACCCUAAUUCAAAUCCUAAACCUUUUAUCAAACCCUAACCAAAUCUUAAUUCAAAUCCUAAUCCAAAUCCUAAACCCUAAAUUAAAUUCUAAUUCAAAUCCUAAAUCCUAAAUCAAACCGUAACCAAAUCCUAAACCCUAAAUAAAUCCUAAUCCAAACCCUAAACCCUAAACCAAAUCCUAACCAAAUCCUAAACCAAACCCUAGUAAUUCCUAUAAUAGAUUUAAACCUCAAUAAUUAAUGAAUAAACCGUUGAUCUCAACUCAAAUUUUGCACAAUUCUAAAAAAAUAAGUUAAAAAAAAAACAAAAAAAAAUUGAAAAGGAUCGGAAUUACUAAAUUGACGAUAACCUCAAAAAUGUACUCGGGUAUUGACCAGCUUUCUUCUCCAAACUUGAUGCCAAUCUUCCGGAGCCAAUAUCUCUCCUUUGCACUAUUCAAUUGAUAUCAAAAUUCUCAUACAUAUAGAAAAUCAAGUCUUAUAUCUUUUCAUGUAAGUUUCACUCCAAUUCAAUUAGUAGAUUGUAAGAAAUCUUACAAAAUCCCCACUAGACGUAAAAUUCUACUUUUUGACACCUUAACCCACUUAAAUCUCAAUAUUCCUCAAUUCAACCGUUAGAUCGAGUUCAAAUUCACAACACAUAUUAAACACAACUAUAACCAUAAAUCCACAAAAGUUCACUUAUAGAUCAAUUACAAAAUUCUUGAAAUCAUCCAAAACGUAAACCCUAUUUUAUUUCAUAAAACCCAAGUCAUCUGAAACAAACCUUGACUUUGCAAAGCUCUUACAAAGUCAUAACAACUCCAAAUUAUCCAAAAUUAAUGCCCAUAGAAACUCUAUCCAAUCUUCUAUCAAACCCCAUUCUCCAAUCUGCCAAAGAGUCUUAGAGUCGUCAUCGAGACUCGGUUUUAAGCCUCAGGGUCUGAUUUCGAUCCUGGUUCAUAACCGGCCCUCUCUGCGUAUCAACAUCUAGUUUUUUUUUUUAAGUAAUUUUUACUAGAAUUUACUCUUAACUUCCUCCUAAAGAUGUCUAUAUCAUUUAUUUUUCCAAUCUACCUUAUUUUGUCUUAUUUUUGGCCCUACAAAGUAAGUAGAAGCUAUUUUUUCUAAAAUGGCAGCAUUACUACUAAAACUUUUACUACCUUCCUAUCUUUUAUCCAUAUUUUUCUACCUUUUCUUUUAACUUGUCUCUUCUAUAAUAAGAUCCAUAUUAUCAUCUUUCACCAUAUAGUCGUAUUACAACAUGACAUCCACCCCCUCUGAACUUA